CCUACGGGUGGCAGCAGUGGGGAAUAUUGCACAAUGGGGGAAACCCUGAUGCAGCGACGCCGCGUGAAGGAAGAAGUUUUUCGGUAUGUAAAAUUCUAUCAGCCGGGGAGAAAAUGACGGUACCUGACUAAGAAGCCCCGGCUAACUACGUGACAGCACCCGCGGUAAUACGCAGGGGGCAAGCGUUAUACGGAUUUACUGGGUGUAAAGGGGGCGUAGGCGGGUUAGCAAGUCAGAAGUGAAAGCCCGGGGCUCAACUCCGGGACUGCGUUUGAAACUGUGGAACUAGGUUGCAGGAGAGGUAAGUGGAAUUCCUGGUGUAGGGGUGAAAUGCGUAGAUAUCAGGAGGAACACCAGUGGCGAAGGCGGCUUACUGGACUGUAAAUGACGCUGAGGCUCGAAAGCGUGGGGAGCAAACAGGAUUAGAUACCCGAGUAGUC
rnacentral:rRNA from 1 species